AAGGUUUUAGCUUAAUUAAAGCUUUUGAUUUGCAUUCAGAGGACAUAGGAUAGAGCCCUAUAAACCUUA